rnacentral:rRNA from 1 species
GACGAACGCUGGCGGCGUGCUUAACACAUGCAAGUCGAGCGGAAAGGCCCUGCUUUUGUGGGGUGCUCGAGUGGCGAAAGGGUGAGUAACACGUGAGUAACCUGCCCUUGACUUUGGGAUAACUUCAGGAAACUGGGGCUAAUACCGGAUAGGAGCUCCUGCUGCAUGGUGGGGGUUGGAAAGUUUCGGCGGUUGGGGAUGGACUCGCGGCUUAUCAGCUUGUUGGUGGGGUAGUGGCUUACCAAGGCUUUGACGGGUAGCCGGCCUGAGAGGGUGACCGGCCACAUUGGGACUGAGAUACGGCCCAGACUCCUACGGGAGGCAGCAGUGGGGAAUAUUGCACAAUGGGCGGAAGCCUGAUGCAGCAACGCCGCGUGCGGGAUGACGGCCUUCGGGUUGUAAACCGCUUUCGCCUGUGACGAAGCGUGAGUGACGGUAAUGGGUAAAGAAGCACCGGCUAACUACGUG